rnacentral:lncRNA from 1 species
UUAAAAAAUGCUUUGUGAGGGAUUGGUGAUUGGUUACGAAAGGAAUAAAAUAUAAAAAUAAUUGUUUUAAAAAAUAUAUUUGUAUCAUAUUUUUAAGUUUAAUUAAUUUCAUACAAGUCUCUUCAGAGAUAAUGAAUGAUAAAUAUAUUUCUAUAAAGUUAACCCUUUAUAUGUUUUUGAAAAUAUAUUGUAUUAUGAUUUAAGGUCAAUUUCAUACGAGUCUCUGCAAAUGUAGUGAAUGACAAAUAUAUUUCUACAAAAUUCAACUUUUAUAUAUUGUUUUUGCAAAAGCCCUGAUAUUUUUAAAUAUGUCCCUAUAGUUUGUUACUGUUAGAGAACUGUUUAUAUUUUUAAUUUUGCUAUCACAAAUAUAUCGCUCCAAAAGCCAUAACAAUAUAAUAUAAACGGAUAAAAAUGUCAAAAACUAAUCAGGAUUAAGUAUUUAACCUAUGGUUAACUAAAAUUUUCUAACGAAUUUUAAUAUUAUGGACAUAUUUAAAAAAUCAUGACUUUUAUAAGAACAACAUAUAAAAGUUGAACUUUGUAGAGAUAUAUUUAUUAUUCACUAUAUUUGUAGAGGUUUGUAUGAAAUUAAUCCUAUAUUUUAUUAGAUAGAG